rnacentral:rRNA from 1 species
UAGGGAAUCUUCGGCAAUGGACGGAAGUCUGACCGAGCAACGCCGCGUGAGUGAAGAAGGUUUUCGGAUCGUAAAGCUCUGUUGUAAGAGAAGAACGAGUGUGAGAGUGGAAAGUUCACACUGUGACGGUAUCUUACCAGAAAGGGACGGCUAACUACGUGCCAGCAGCCGCGGUAAUACGUAGGUCCCGAGCGUUGUCCGGAUUUAUUGGGCGUAAAGCGAGCGCAGGCGGUUAGAUAAGUCUGAAGUUAAAGGCUGUGGCUUAACCAUAGUACGCUUUGGAAACUGUUUAACUUGAGUGCAAGAGGGGAGAGUGGAAUUCCAUGUGUAGCGGUGAAAUGCGUAGAUAUAUGGAGGAACACCGGUGGCGAAAGCGGCUCUCUGGCUUGUAACUGACGCUGAGGCUCGAAAGCGUGGGGAGCAAACAGGAUUAGAUACCCUGGUAGUCCACGCCGUAAACGAUGAGUGCUAGGUGUUAGACCCUUUCCGGGGUUUAGUGCCGUAGCUAACGCAUUAAGCACUCCGCCUGGGGAGUACGGCCGCAAGGUUG